GAUGAACGCUGGCGGCGUGCUUAACACAUGCAAGUCGAACGGGAUGCAAGGGGUCCUUGCCCUUUGUGGUGAGAGGCGGGAACGGGAGAGUAACACGUGAGGAACCUGUCCUUUUCUGUGGGAUCAGCAUUCGAAAGGGUGUUUAAUACCCUAUGUUCUGUCUGCCUCGUAUGCGGUGGGUGGGAAAGGCUUUGGCCGGACUUGGGUGGGCUCGCCGGCUAGCAGCUUGUUGGGGGGGUGAUGGCUUACCAAGGCUCUGACGGGUAGCCGGCCUUUGAGGGUGGUCGGACAUAUUCGGACUGACCCACACCCCAGACUCCUGCAGGCGGCAGCAGUGGGGGAUAUUGCACAGUGGGAGAAAGCCUGAUGCAGCGAGGGCGCGUGGCGGAUGGAGGCCUUCGGGCUGUAACCUCCGUUUACCCUGAGCAAGGGAUGCCAGGGAGUGUGUUGCGUGUAGGGGUAGAUUAGCGCCGGCUAACUACGUG
rnacentral:rRNA from 1 species